GUUUUUCUUCUUCUUUUCUCUUC
rnacentral:sRNA from 1 species